rnacentral:rRNA from 1 species
CAUGCAAGUCGAGCGAACGGACGAGAAGCUUGCUUCUCUGAUGUUAGCGGCGGACGGGUGAGUAACACGUGGAUAACCUACCUAUAAGACUGGGAUAACUUCGGGAAACCGGAGCUAAUACCGGAUAAUAUUUUGAACCGCAUGGUUCAAAAGUGAAAGACGGUCAUGCUGUCACUUAUAGAUGGAUCCGCGCUGCAUUAGCUAGUUGGUAAGGUAACGGCUUACCAAGGCAACGAUGCAUAGCCGACCUGAGAGGGUGAUCGGCCACACUGGAACUGAGACACGGUCCAGACUCCUACGGGAGGCAGCAGUAGGGAAUCCUCCGCAAUGGGCGAAAGCCUGACGGAGCAACGCCGCGUGAGUGAUGAAGGUCUUCGGAUCGUAAAACUCUGUUAUUAGGGAAGAACAUAUGUGUAAGUAACUGUGCACAUCUUGACGGUACCUAAUCAGAAAGCCACGGCUAACUACGUGCCAGCAGCCGCGGUAAUACGUAGGUGGCAAGCGUUAUCCGGAAUUAUUGGGCGUAAAGCGCGCGUAGGCGGUUUUUUAAGUCUGAUGUGAAAGCCCACGGCUCAACCGUGGAGGGUCAUUGGAAACUGGAAAACUUGAGUGCAGAAGAGGAAAGUGGAAUUCCAUGUGUAGCGGUGAAAUGCGCAGAGAUAUGGAGGAACACCAGUGGCGAAGGCGACUUUCUGGUCUG